GUAUUCUCUUCUGGAACUAAUGUGUCGGGUAUGGAAAUUUAUUUAUUUUGGCGCAGUGCCUAUUAUCUGUAACAUAUACCGUCGUCACAUGGAAGAUGCGAUUGUAUUUUCAACAGUCAUCCAAUCUGUACUCUCAGAUGGAACAGGGCCAAUAAGAAAUUUCAAAAACAAUAAAAAUAUCUAGCCAAGCUGUAGGCCAAAGAGACAAAGUAGCAGGGGAGGGAGAGGAGAGAACCGUAACGAACAAGCGCAACAAGAGAGCAAGGCAGCCAGCAAGGAAGGAAAUUUUUUAAGGACUAUGCACGAAAGAUUCUCACGAGAUUUGAUCUACGUCGGCUAACGCGUAGGUAAAAGAGAGAGCAGGAGACAUAUAUCAUACGACAAGCAACAAGCAAACGCAACACCCCGUUGCCUAGCCGCAGCCGCACAAACCGACCGCCCCUCACCUCACCUCAGAAAGGAGGAAAAGAAUUGCUUGUUGCUGUAAGUUUUAGCCUUGAAGCUUCUGAAGCUGUAGCUGAGCGAAGGUCAUCAUUUCAGCUGAAGCGUUGGGAAGCUUAUGCUCAGCUUCAUAAGAAGGUUUCUGAAAAGUGGUGGUGUGCACCAGGACAUGGUGACUGGUCAACAAAUCUGGCGAGGUACACACUAUGCCAGGAUGGGAUAUUUCAUAAGCAAGACCAAUUUGGGCGACUUUUGCCCACGUUUAUUCAAAUAAUCAAUUUGACGGAAGAGGAAGAGUACUGGAUGGUUGCAUCUGCUGUAUUCGAGGGCAAAGAGGCUUCCAGUCUACCUUCUGAAUAAGGUUAAAGCUUCUGUAAAAAAUGUUGUGCAACCAGUGUUCUCAGAGCAUUCAGUGCCCACAUGCACUUCGUUCUCUACUUCCUUCUCUUCCUUGUGGAUUUGCUUUCCGAAUCAAGGGGACAACAUGAAUCCUUAUUGUUUCCUCAAUGUGCUCCCAUCCCAUAGGUGCAUUUGUUCAGGACAAUGCUUCAGUGGGAGGAGCAAGUUCGCCGUGGUGCAUCUAUGGCAGAGAAAAGUCUCGGUAUAAGCACAUGCACGAAACCAAUCCUUCGUGAGGUGGCCAUAAUCUUCUGGCCCAACGGGAAGAUGACGAGGAUGAGCACUGGUAGCACAGCGGAUGACGCUGCUAGAAGAAUGAGCGUUGAAGGGAAGCUGCUUUGGGUCGAUGGACAACUAGUGCUGCCUCAAACAGAGCUCAAGGAUGGAGAUAUAGUUGAAGUGAGGGUGUAGAUGCAAUUACCAAUUCCCAGUACACCUUUCAGGGUUAUUAAUCAGAUUGAUUCCUCUGUUCUUGCCAACUGCCUAGGCAUGCAGCAGAUUGGAGAAUGGUAGACAUAGAAAGCCAAACCCCAACUGUACAGUCCAUUUGUCGAAAUGAAUCGAAGGAAGCAGGAAUUAGGCACAUCAAGUGCUGUAUUGUACUGUUGUGUACAUAAGCAACUGCAAGUAUAAGAUGUCUGUCCAACUGUGAUUAUCCUUGUCCACAGUUACAGUGGCAGUGUAAAUUUCUGUAAGUAGAGCUGUAGUAUUAUGUAGUUCAGUAGGACUCUUGGCCUGCAAUGUGUUUGUACAUAAUGGCGUGAAGAUACGAGUACUACCAAGCUUGUUUGGUUUGUGUCCAAAGUAGAUUUCCAUAAUUUGGCUAGCCAAAUCUUGUAGAGGUAUUGACAAGAA